UACGGGGGGAGCAAGCGUUGUUCGGAUUUACUGGGCGUAAAGGGCGCGUAGGCGGCCAGCGCAAGUCAGUUGUGAAAUCUCCGGGCUUAACUCGGAACGGUCAACUGAUACUGCGCGGCUAGAGUGCAGAAGGGGCAACUGGAAUUCUCGGUGUAGCGGUGAAAUGCGUAGAUAUCGAGAGGAACACCGGUGGCGAAGGCGGAUCUCUGGGCCUUACCUGACGCUCAGGUGCGAAAGCUAGGGGAGCGAACAGG
rnacentral:rRNA from 1 species